rnacentral:rRNA from 1 species
AUUGAACGCUGGCGGCAGGCCUAACACAUGCAAGUCGAACGAGUGGCGGACGGGUGAGUAAUGUCUGGGAAACUGCCCGAUGGAGGGGGAUAACUACUGGAAACGGUGGCUAAUACCGCAUACUAUCGGAUGUGCCCAGAUGGGAUUAGCUAGUAGGUGGGGUAACGGCUCACCUAGGCGACGAUCCCUAGCUGGUCUGAGAGGAUGACCAGCCACACUGGAACUGAGACACGGUCCAGACUCCGACGGGAGGCAGCAGUGGGGAAUAUUGCACAAUGGGCGCAAGCCUGAUGCAGCCAUGCCGCGUGUAUGAAGAAGGCCUUAGGGUUGUAAAGUACUUUCAGCGAGGAGGCGUUACUCGCAGAAGAAGCACCGGCUAACUCCGUGCCAGCAGCCGCGGUAAUUC